ensembl:lncRNA
UAAUAUAUAUUUUAUUGUUUUAUUAAUAAAAUUGUAUAUUUCAUUGUAUAUUUAUAUAUGUAAAAUUGUAUGUUUUAUUUAGCUUACAGCAAUGUAUUAGCAUUUAGUUUCCAAGUGGUUUCUUGUAAGUCAGAUGACAUCAUAAUACUUCCAAUUCAUAAGUUACAACGUUUAAGAUUUUAUGAACACGGAACAUUAAAAUAAAGUAAUAAUCAUCUUCGACCAAGUUUAUGCAAAUCGCAAAUAGAUGGAUGUCCACUACAUUAAUGAAGUUUUGUAGAACAAUUGGAGUUAUUUGCGUUUACAAGAUUCAUUAUUCCUAUGAUCAUCUGCACCUCCUACAACCACAUGGAUUCAAGAGAUCAGGAGGCAAACUGUAGCAGCUAUAAAGGCAGAACACCUGUGGUGGCUCUGCCAGAGUUCCCACAACCCCGUUCCACUCUUUCUUGCUGAGCUGUUUGGGAGCUCUACUGGGAAAUGCUGGGGGUCGAACCUGGAAAAGCAGAAUCUGUAACCAAACCCAAAAGGGAUUGCUGAAUGCUCUCCUUCCUGUUUUGAGCCAAGAGCCAAGAUUCUAAAUUUCAUGAUAUUGAACUAUGACCAGGUGGAGCCUCAGAGCAGAGUGAAGAGAGGACAGGCAGCUGCAGAUCCGGCCCCAUUGUCUGCAGGUCACCUAUAGCAUCCAUCACAGCAAGUUCCAGUUAUUUGUUUACACCGGGGAGCCUACCUACAGCUUCCUGUACCAUGGAAAUUAUAAAGGAGAGAAUCCCCCAUCCUUAAUUACAGGCUGCAAAAUAAUGACAGCAAACAACAUUUUUCUUCACGGUUCAAGACUAAUAAUUGAGGUCUGUCCAUUCAAAUUUGACUAUAGAAAGAUAUUGCAUAAUUCACUAUCAAGAUUUGUGUGACUUCUAGGGCAUUUCUGUCCGUUUUGCAAAGUGAAGCACACAAUAGGAAUUGACGUCUGCCCCAAAAUACAGACUUGAGAUUUAUCAAAGAAUCUCAACCAUAAAUAACAGGAAUUUUACAUGACAAACACUCGAGUUAGUUGAAAGACGUGAAUCUAAAUUUUUCUUCUUAUAUUUUGUGGCUUAGUAAAUCUGGGUGAGUUUUUGAGUGCUUAUUCUCUUACCUUUAGAAGGAACCAGCACAUAGGAUUAAUACAGGUUCAAAUGAGAGUUUAUAUUAAGUGCUUAGAAGUAAACUAUUAUGUAAAUAUUUGUUGUUAGAAUAGUUGAGUAGGCAUGGUCUUUAGCACCAUGCUUUGCAAAAAGCUUUUGUUUCUUCUAUCUUCCGAGACUACACUCCAAAAAAUAAUUUUUUCUUUAACCAGAAAAAUAGAUAAUGGAUUCAGAAAUAUUUAGAAAGGGAGGCUGGCCCUGUGGCAUGGUGGUUAGGUUCCACACACUCCUCUUUGGUUGCCUGGGUUCAUGGGUUUGGCUCCCUGGUGUGGACCUACACCAAUCGUCAGGCAUACUGUGGCAGCGACCCACAUACGGAAUGGAGGAAGGUUGGCACAGAUGUUGGCUCAGGGCAUAUCUUCCUCAGCAAAAAUAUUUAGGAAGGGAAUGUCAACUUUAUUAAAAAUAUUUGGUGAUGCUAUAAUUCAAUGGUUUGUGUAUUCUAUCUGUAGUUCCUUUUUCAAUUUCAUACCCAGUUAGACCUUUAGAAAACUGGAAGUCUUGUUUAUUUGUUUGCUUUUGAAUUUUUUAAAGUUGAUUUACUCUUUUAAAAUAUUACAAAUCUGAUUAAUUGGUUCACAAAAUGGUUUUCUUUUUUAAAAAAAACUCUAGUGUUUAUAUUAGGUAAACAAUUCAAACACUGAAUUCAUGUUUGAAAUGUUUGCAAAUACCUUUGAAAUUUACCAAAUUUAAAAUCAGAAGGUAUUAUAACUAAGAAUCUUCUCUUAGGCGUUCUUGGUUGAAAAAUGGUUUUGAUUAUUGUAUAUAUGCACAUGUUAAUUUGAAUUUAUCAACAUUAAACUCACACAACAUCUUUUUACCCCAAGUUAUAACCAAAAGAAAUGCUAUUUAGUUUUCAUAUAAAGAUAUAAUUCAAACAGAACUUAAUUAUUUGAAAUUAUGUCUUGUUUUGCUUUAUUCAUGGCACUGGUGUGGAGGGCGUUCAUUUUGUUGCUUCAGCCUAAUAUUCUUCAGCCUGGUCGAUUUGUGGUGAUGUGCUGUCUCUCUGUCCUCAGCAGGAUAAUAAAGAGCAACCACAGAUUGCUCUUAUUCAGUUUGUAAAAUGCUCAGUCAAUGUUGUUCUGAGCUGGGAAUCAAAUUAAGAAGAACACCAUGACCUUCAGGAGAGGCCGGACACAGAGUGUAGUGCCAGCGCUGAAACAAAAUGAAGUCCCACGCAAGCCCCCAAGACAGGGUCCCAUGCCACCAUGGCAAUCUGAGUCCCCUUUUCCGAGGUGACCUCUGCCUUCCUGACCCCUUGGUCCUCAGCCUUUCUCAUCUUCAUUGUUCGUGCUCUCUAUGGGACAGGACACUGGAGCACCCUCUCUUUUGAAAUUAAUUUGUCAGCAAUCUUGCCAAAUAUAUGGGUUCAACUUCUGCCUAAGAGAAACUUCCAAACCAAGCUCUGAGGUCCUGGAAAACAACUUCAGGGGCAUAAUCCUAAACUAUAGUUAGAGUCGGAAACGAGUGGACUUUGUACAGCACCAAGAAGUGGACAGGGUACAAACAGUAAUAACUCCAUAGAGAGCCACGAAUCAAAAAGAUAGCCUCUAAGUACAAAUGGCCACAAAUCAGAAGAUAGUGAAAAGAUAGUCUAUAUGUACAAAUAGUACUUCUAGCUGUUCUCUUGACUUUGCUGUCAAUAGAUGUUUUCAAACACAAAAAGAAGCAAUAUUCUUAAAUGUUUUGGAGCAAGGGAGUGUUUUACAUUUUUUAUGGCCAAUAGCCUAGGUCAAGGUCAACUUUUGGUAUCAAGGCUAAGUUUAGUCAAUGGUGGGUCAGGGUAUUCAGUCAGUGACACACAGAGAAUAUCUGACAUGUAGAUAUUUUGCAAUAUGUUCUCUUGGUUAUUGUUUCAGGUGAAACAUAGCUGAAGCUCACAGAAGAGAAAUGAUCUAAUUCUCUAAUUUCUUGCUUGGAUUGAGGAAUGGAAAGCUUUUAGGAAACAUAACAGUAUUACUCCCUCCAACCAACACAAAAAUCCAUGUGACUGUGAUAAUUUAAUUAAUAUACGAUAUGUGGAUAAAUUCUAACAACUUAUUUACAGGCUAUGAAAUUUUUAAUGUCUUUAACUGAAAUGUUUUAAAAUGCAGUUGAGACUGAAAUAUUUUCUGAAAUAUUCAAUUAUCUUUUAUUGUUUAUAAAAUGAAUGAUGGGAAAAUAAAUGUAAACCCAGAUAAUGCUUUUAUCUCUAUGAAAGCAUAAAUUCCUUAUUGUUAAGCAACUGCAAAAUCCUUUUAUGUGUUUAAUGAUGUGGCUAUUAUAAAACUAGAUUGAAUAAACUGCUCAUUGUUCUAUGUCUUCUCAUGAGGCAGUUUCAUUAGGAACAAUUAGGUCGAAGGGCCAGCCUGGUGGCGCAGAAGUUAAGUGUGCACAUUUCGCUUCAGCAGCCUGAGGUUCGCAGGUUCGGAUCCCUGUUGUGGACGUGGCACCUCUUGGCAAGCUAUGCUGUGGUAGGGCGUCCCACAUGUAAACUGGAGGAAGGUGGGCACGGAUGUGAGCUCAGGGCCAGUCUUCUUCAGCAAAAAGAGGAGGAUUGGCAGCAGAUGUUAGCUCAAGGCUAGUCUUCCUCAAAAAAAAGAGAACAGUUUGGUCACACUGUGUGAAGAUGUCAUCAGCUAUGUUGCUCAUUUAAAUUGUAAAACAUUUGAACAACGUAGUAUUUGGGAGAAUUGCAUCUAUAUUAGAAGCCUGAGUUUCCACUUUGGGAUUUUUAACGAAAAUAUUUUCAUUAUGUCUUAAUUUAACUUUGAAUCCUUAACUUUUUCUUUAUAGUAUUGUUUUUGUAUUGGGCUUAUUAUUAGACUUGAGUCCUGAAAAUUUGUGAGCUCCAAGUUCAAACCAGCCUCCAAGGUUAAGUGGAAAUCUUGUGUUUAUUUGUAAUAAAUAAAUCCCUCAGAGCUGUCUUUUCAGAACAUUAUCACUUCCUCAGUUUCCCUUCCUUAC